rnacentral:lncRNA from 1 species
UAAAGAAAGCUGCAAGAAGGAUAAUCACAGAACACAACAAAGCAGUAACUUAUGUGUUAGAAAAACAUG